CUCAUAUUGAACGGACCAAUGGGAACUGAGGUUUCAGGUCGCCAUAGAGACCGAUGCUGUUAAGCGGGAGAGGGCCUGAAGAAGGUGGGGAAUGAGGUAGAAGGUAUCGCUGGCUUUGGGAGCGGGAGGGGUGGGGAAAAGAACUACUAGGGGAUUCCCGAGUGCUGGCUCUGAAAUCUGAGGCAGCUUUUGCUCUGCCUUCCUGUCAACCCCAGCUAUGCAUGAUAGGGUUUGUUCCUCGCGUCAAAGGCAGAACAGCUGAGCCCUUAUUCGAAUCCUUCAGAGCUUGGGAGUGGGCGUUUCACUUUUCCUGCGACUGAGGAGUCCCUGAGCCUCUGCCCUUUGACCUCUGACAUGUGUGCAGCUUCUGCUUCUUCAGAUACGGAAAACAUGAAUAAAACAGACCGACCCUUCAUGACAAUUCAGAGGAAUGACAGCUCAGAUAAUCUGGUAUUCCAUAUGAAAAACGGAAUAAGAAGCAUCAAGUAUAAACCAGUAGAUUAUCAACAAUUGUAUGCAUUAACUGAAGCAAAAAAAUUAGCUUCUGCCUCUACAGAGCUAAAGAUCAGAAAAGCAGUGCAGACUUCAAAGAUAUCUAAAGAACAAACACUAAUAAAGCAACACAAGCAAGUGUGGUGGCAGGAACACCAAAGACUAAAUGAAGUCAGAUGUAAAAUGGAAUGUGAAAUAAAAUCCUUUCUCAAUGAAGAGAACAUUGGAAAUGAAUUUCUUUCUGACCUUUUGAAUUUUGAACGAGAGUUAGCAGAACAAUGGUGCAUAUAUCUUGAAAAUGUGAUACAUCCUAUUCAGCAAUUGAGAGAAGAUCUAAAAUACAGACUGCAUCCCAUUUCACAGUGUUCACACUCACAGAGUGAGUUUAACUCUUUGAAAGUACUGGAAGAGGUUGACUCCGUGAAGAAACAAUUAAAAGCUGUCUUUGAAAGACUUAGUCUAGAGCAACAGAAAACAGAAAAAAAUCUUUCAGAAUGGAGUGUGCAAAUACUAGAUCAUUCUUCAGAAGAAGGAAUUAACCUACUUAGUGAACUGCCCAUGGAAUUUGAAACUUUGGAGUGUCCAUACUCAGAUUUGAAAUCUUCAAUCCUUAAUGAGUUCUGUAGCUUCACAGAGAAAUAUCAAAAGAAACUUCAAGAUUUUGAUCUGCAGUUAGAAGACAUAUACAGAAACUUCCAGUUAAGUGAUGAAGACCACUGGAUUUUCCAAGCUGUUUUGGAUCAGUAUCCUGGGGAUCUCUGUGGCAGAAGGACUCUGUAUCUGGACAUGUUACAAAGAUAUUUUCCUCGCAAAUCGAGGCAUGAUUUAGUCGAACAUGAGAAAUAUUGUGACCAGUAUCGCUUUGCUAAGGAGCAGCGAAGGAUCCUGAUAUCAAGUUGGAAUAAGAAUAGGAGAGACUUUAUACAGAAGGCUGUGCUGACACUCACCGAGGCCUGUGCAGCUCAUGAAAUGGAAAGCAUGAUGACUAAGGACAGGAAAAAGCAACAGGAAGUGUGUGCUGAUCUGAAAGCCAAGGUUCUUAAAUGGCGAGCCCAUCAGGAAGAGGUAGCAAGACUGGAAAUGGAAAUUUCUGUCAGAAGAAGAGAAAAGGAAGAAGAGAAAGAGAAACUGUGGAAGAAGAAGGAAUUGUUACAAAGAGAAGAGAAGGAAAAAAAGAUAAGAAAAUACUGGGCUGAGAAAGAAAAGAAAUGGCAAGAAAUGGAAAUGAGAGAUCUUCGGCGUCUGGAAGAACUGAAGAAAUUAAUGGCAGAACAGUCAGUAAAAGACAGAGAAAGGGUUAAAUACAGACAAGAAUUAUUGGAAAAGCGUUUGAUGGAGAAAAAAGAAGUGGCCCUUCAAGAAGCACUUGAAGAAGAAGAGAGAGAGAGGCGGCUAGCAGCCCUUAGGAAACAGGUUGCUAUUGUCGCUCAAUUUGAUCCUGUUAGAAUGAUGUCAGAUACAAUGGCAUCAAAAGCGAGGAUGGGUAUUGGAAUUGAAGAAGAAUUUAUUCUUCAAAAGCCACUCUUCACAUUGAAUACAUACAAUGAACAGCAGGAUGACGGAACAUGUAGCUUGGAGGCAAGGAAUAGAGGCCAUUUAUCUGUCUCUUACUCAAGCUUUCAGUCCUCUCAUACGUGGGAUGCCCAGCAGCCAGCUAGGAAAAUCAAUGGCUGUCAAAAUCACCUUUGGAAAGGACCUGAGAGGAGGGGCUGUCAAGAAGGCAGGAGAGAAGGAUGCGGGGCUCACCCUCUCCCAUGAAUCAAAAGUACAUCUACAUGUGGAACAAUUCUCACAGAAUACCUACUGAACUUCAAGAGGCUGAGAGAUUCUCUGGUCUUUGAAAAUUACUGGCUGUGUGACCUUGGCUCCUGCACCAUCCCGGCAACUCUCUCCUGGGAACUUCCUGUUUUCCAAUAUCCUUCAUGAAAUGUGCUGCCCAAAACUGAAGGCAAUAUUCAGCUGUUGACGAUGUGCAUUCUGGGUGAUGAGCACAAAGCACAGAGCGGGCAGGACACAAGGGAAGCACUCUGAUGAUAAUUGUGAUGAUUAUGAUCAUGACUGGCAUCCAAUAAUCUUUGCUUAAAACAAGCGGGAAAUUGUUUCCAAGAAAGAAAGCAAAUGUUUUAAAGUUUUAAAGAAAACCACAAGUGUAGGAAUUAGAACCGCCUGGAUUGCUGCAGACCUGGAAUCUAUUUUCUCUUUUAUUUCAUAACUUUUAAAAAAGUUUUUUAGGAGGGGAGGGGUGG